AUUAAAAUAGCAUUCUUUAACGGGCAAGCCUACGUCCGUUCACCGCCGACAAGGUGAGCCAUGGAUCAGAAUCAGCGGGCCCGUCUGAUCCGUCGGGAAGUUCGCUUUCCGUUCGGUGGGUACAGGCGGAAAUUGAAUGCAGGGUCCAGUAUCUUCUCUGCCUAGAGCGGUGCUCAUUUGGAAGCUCAGGCCUGCAGCGUAGAGAAAAAGAGCGGCGGCUGCGAGGCACCAUGGAUUUCCUGAUGCAGCCAAUCGAGGGAUCCACUCUCCUUGCAGAUUUAGGCGAGAGCUUGGUGCCGGUCCCUGUGCCGCAAGCGCCGUCGGGAGGCGCUAUGGUGGAGGAGUAGGAGGUGGCGGAGCAGCAACAGGCGGUGGACAGCGCAGACGCUCAGAUUUUCGCGGCCAAGGAGGCGGCGGCGGAUAGGAGGGAGAGCUCGCCUCCGACGUCGGAGCUGUCAGUUGGGAAGAUGAAUCCGCAGGUGGUGACUGUGUGGAACAAGAGGCUGAGGAUAGGUGCUGCCGCACCGAGCAGACCACCCUGCCCAACUCGCGGUAAAGUUGGUGUUAAGAACACAAGGUCUUGCCGUUGCAAAUGUCAGACGCUGGGUGGUACAUCACAGAGCAUUGGGAGAGCCACAACCAUUCCCUUUCACCAAACUUUGGCGAGAUGGUGCAUUGGCCAUGGCACAAGCAUAUAUAUCUGAUAAAACAGUUGCGGCAAAACAAUGCCAACCUUGCGAAGGUGUAUGGUAUCAUAGGGAACUUCUUUGGAUCAAUGGAGAAUGUGCCAUUCACCAAAAGGUCUUUGCGCAAUCUCCGUGGGAAGAUAAAUAGGGAGCAGGUCGAUGAUGAUGAAGGUGUUUGCUGAAAUUGGGGCCAAGGAUCCGCAUUUCACAUACAAAAUUCAGGCUGACAAUGAGGGCGGGAUUAACAACCUGAUGUGGGCAAGUGGAAACAGCAAGCUGCAGUACACAUUUUUCAGGGAUGUGAUAACAUUUGACACCAUGUACUGGACUAAUUUGUACGAAAUGAUGUUCAGGCUAUUGUUGGUGUUAAUAGUCAUUUCCAGAGUACCAUCCUGGCAGAGGUGCUUGUUUGUGAUGAGACAACUGAGAGUUCUGAAUGUUUUCUCAGAAUUUCUUAGAGUGAUGGGCGGCGCUCCUCUGAUGACUAUACUUACUGGUAAGUUCUUGCUUUCCUGGUGUGUUUUGCAGACCCUAUUCAGGCUAUGGAGCUGGCUAUCAAAGAGCAUUAUGCCAGACACCACAUGCUGGCGGUGCAAGUGUCACAUGCUCAAGAACGCAAAGUAAACGUUGGGCCCUCUGUACACCAAGAAGAGUGAAUUCAAAGUAGAGUCCCAUGAGGUGGUGAACUACAUGCUCACGGUAGAUGGGUUUGAGAAUGGGUGGGUGAUGAUGUUGGAUGAAUACAACCUAUGGAGACGCCCAUACAUGACUCAACUUCUCGAGAUCAGAAAGAAAUGGACAAAGCCGUAUUUCGAAGGUGUUUUAUGUGCAACAAUGAGCACAUAAAGGAGUGAUGGUGUCUAAUGGAUAUGUUUGCGCAGAAGUAUAUGAUGCUUCUGUUCGACAGACUCGGGAGAGAACUAUUGAGGAGAAGAGAACAAGAAUUUGUUAUUUCAGUUUGAAAAAUAUAGAGUAGUGAGCAUGGUACUAAUGGUUACAACUGGUUCCUGAUUGGGGAGAUCUUUGAUGAGGGUGCUUUGACAGGUGGAGUUGUUGGGAGAAAUGUGGCUGCCGGAAACAGUAAUCGUCGCUGGCAGGCAAAAAUUGUAGGUUAGUCAACAGUGGUAUAAAUUUGUCAAUUGAAAUGUGCUUGAAAUACAUACUUAAAUAAGGGGCCGUUCGGAAUCACUCCGCUCUGUAACUCCGCCGUGGAGCGGAGCGGCACCCAGUUCAAUUUUAGCGAGCGGCGAAAGUGGUGCUCCGCCCGCUCCGCUCCCUGACGGAGGAGCAGAGGAUUCCCGAACACAGCCUAAAUGUGGUUCACAGGACGGAGGUAUGUUGGUGGUGCCUUCGAGACAGGGAACAUGGGUUCUGCCAAAGUGGUCUUGGAGACGGUAGGGGAAUAAGAAGUCAGAAAGAGGCAACAAAAAGCGGAGGAGAGUGAGGUUCUCGAACAUUGUUGAAACGAUUUGUCGAUCGGAAACCUCAGAAACCGAAGACACUUCAAGUGAUAAUCACAGCAUGGCAAGUGGGGAUGAUGACCUUCGUGCGCGUCGUGCUGGAAGUGACAAGGAGCAAGGUUAUAAUACAGUGGUGGCACUGGAAAGGGUGGCGACAGAGUCCAAAAGGGUGGAGGUGCUGCUGCACUUGGUUCUGGAAUUGGCAUGGAAGGAGGGGCAGCUGAUGAUGGAACUAAUUCUUGUGGGAGGAUCCAGCGUCAUGACUGUGACUGUGAGCCUGGAUACACAUUCAGGGGUUCUUCAGAGGUUGGAGGUAGCUCAAGCCAAGGAGGAUGUGGUGGCAAUGCAAAUGUUGAAGGUGCAUAAAUUUUCCAGAAUGAAUAAUUCGGGGGGGAGGGGGGGGAAGGGUUGCCAUAAAUUUUUCAUUGCCAAGACAGUGUUGCAGGUAAGCUGCCGUGGCAAAACUUCUGGAUUGCUGCUGCAGUGAUUGAGCGACACUGCCAUGGCCGAGUUUUUGCCGACGUAGUGGAUGCUCAAACAGUAGACAUGUGUGGGAUGGACAUGAAACAAAAUUGCCACAUCAAGGGGGUGUUUUUUGAUUGACCUUCAGAUUAUUGCUUAAAAUUAUUACAUGGAAAAUACAUUCUGUAUAUUGGAGAUUGUGGGUGGUGCUGCUUAA